rnacentral:lncRNA from 1 species
GGAGACCAGGGAGACGAGGGGCAGAAUCGCGGUCUUGAAUGCUGAAAAGAGCUGCAACGGUCUCGGGAGAAUUUUCGCGGAUGGGGCUUGUGAAUGAAGCCAUGAUCAGUUCCGGAGCGUUAUCGUUGACAUCUACCACCUGUAUUAUGACAGUGCAUUUUCCAGAAAGACCUGCCCCAUCAGAGGCUUUAAUAUCCACCUGAUAUGACACAAUUUUUUCAAAAUCUAGUUUUCUGAUUAUUUUAAUUUCUCCCCUUCGUUCAUUAAGUGCAAAUGUCUU